rnacentral:rRNA from 1 species
GACCAAGGAGUCUAACAUGUGCGCGAGUCGUAGGGUUACGCUCAAAGCCCGAAGGCGCAAUGAAAGUGAAGGUCGGCCUCGAUUGCCGUUACCUAGGCGGGAUCCGUUCGGGCUUACCGGUCGUUCGCGGCUGAGCCCGGCGGCGCACCGCCGGCCCGUCUCGACCGCAUCGCCGGUGAGGCGGAGCGAGAGCGUACACGUUGGGACCCGAAAGAUGGUGAACUAUGCCCGGGCAGGACGAAGCCAGAGGAAACUCUGGUGGAGGUCCGUAGCGAUUCUGACGUGCAAAUCGAUCGUCGGA